rnacentral:snRNA from 1 species
GUACCUGCUUCGGCAGUACAUAUACUAAAAUUGGAACGAUACAGAGAAGAUUAGCAUGGCCCCUGCGCAAGGAUGUCGUCAAUCACGUGUUUAUUAAACAUUU